UACGGCAGUCAGCUGCACAGCGGCGGGAACCGCAGCUUAGAGGUCCUGGAACCUCCCAGUUCUGGGUGCUUUCUGAAGACUCUUUCCCAUAUGCAAGGGUCACACUCCUCAGCCAGUUCUGCUCACCUAUGAAUCUGAGAGCCCUGGAUGGUGAAGACAGGAAACUGUAGCAACUUAUUCAGAGAAGAGUAACAAGAAGAAUGAAUGCUUCUCUUGAAAAUGCUCCUCAGGGUCAGUUAACAUUCAAGGAUGUCGCUGUGGACUUCUCACAGGAGGAAUGGGAAUGUCUUGACUGUGCUCAGAGAGCAUUGUACAUGGAUGUGAUGUUGGAGAAUUACAACAAUUUGUUUUAUGUGGGGAAUCACUGCAUGUGUCAUAAAUAUGAAAACAUCUUGGAUCAAGGCAUACAGCAUAUUGUCCCCCAGCAUGUGAAUAUCCAAGUUAAGUCUGAUAAAUGUUAUGAGUUUGGCAACACCAUUCAUGAAUCCACCCAAAGUAUACCUUAUAAAACUAACCUCAGGGAUACCUCUGAUACAUCAUUAAACCUAAGCAGACAUGAACCUAGAAACAACAGAGAACCUUGCAAAUGUAAAAA
rnacentral:lncRNA from 1 species